ensembl:lncRNA
GUCUGGAAAGGAGGAAACACCUGGGGGAAGUGUUUCCAUUUUGCCUCUUUGGAGGCCAGGUGUCGGAAUGCCAAGAAAUGUGACCCAACAAGGUCACAGAGUAAAACAGUUCCUGAGUCUUUUCUGUGCAGGAAGACAGCGCAUCCCAACAGUCAGCGUGCUGAGAGCACGGCCUCUGCAGGCGGCUUCUCUGGGUCCAAAUCCCAGCCCACCACUCACCAGCUGUGUGACCUCGGGCUUUACGUAACCUCUCUGUGCCUCAGUUUGCUCGUCUGAAAAGCAAAGAUAAUGACAGUCCCUGUGGCACAGGACCAUGGAGCAGAUGAGGGCAGGAAGGUGCAGUGAAGUGCUCAGCAGGGUCGGCCCGUAGGACGCAGGGCUUAAAAUGUCAGAUGACGUCAUCGUCACCAUCACCAACACAAAUGCAUUUGAGGACACUCUGGUGACCUUCAUUCCUCACCCUGUCAGCUCCAUGCGGUGUUUUUGCUGGGAUCCCCUGGUUCAGACCUUUAUCCUGCAGAAAUGCAGGCUGAGAAGGAUGCCCUGAGGUCACCCCUCUCAUUGCCAUCACCAUGAGCAGCCUCAGUCAUCACUGAGGGCACAGCCAGUGCUUGCCCAUCAUCCCACAGAUGGCAGCACUCAACCAUUUGCAGAGCACGUGACUUCUCAUCCCCCUCCCAGCAUCAGCUGACCCUCAAUGCCCCUCCCUCAACCUAGCCUUCCUGCCUUCCCUUCCUGCUCAGGAGCCCCCCUCCUCCACGGGGGCACAGAGAGAAGAACCCUUUCAAUGCCUGAAUCAGAUCAUAGCAUCUGUUUGCAUAAAACCCUUUAGUGCCCCUCACACAGGGCAUGGGGCUGACGGGCCAGGCCCUGCCUCCUCUCAGACCCUGUCUCUGCCCACACUCCCCGCAGGCCAGCUGCCCGGCCCAUCACUGCUGCACCCCUACAUCCCUCAGGCUUGUCCCAGGUCAGGUCCCAACUCCAGGAAUGACCUUCCCUGAAUGCCUGCUGUCAGCUGCCUCCUCCUCAAGACAAGGCAGUUCAAGUGGCCCCUCCUGAAAAGGCCUCCCAUAUCCUCAGUCCGAAGCCAGCCACCCCUCCCACGUGUCAUGUCGGCUCUCCUUCCCUUCAGGAGACUCAUCGCAGUCUGACCACCACACUUACUUCAUGCACACAUUCACUAUCUCCCCCAUUCGAAUGCACGUUCCAGGAGGACAGAGACACUGGCCAGCACCGUGUCCCCGGCAUCCAGUAGGUGCUCAGUAACAUUUAUGAACAAAUGAUGACUCACAGCGGCCCAAGUUGGCGGGAGGGGGCAGUGUGCCGUUAUUAUAAUGGACGGUCGUAAUAACAGCAUCACCUCGUGUUUACAACCUGCCUUACAGCCUGCAGGUACUUAAGCAUCUGCCAGCCCUGAAGGGGAAAGAGAACACAAAUCUCGACAUUUAGCCAGAAUAGGGAGGAAGCGGAGAUUUAAGAAUGUGUGAGGGAUGCAUUUUCCAGCAUGGAGAGGGAGCAUAUGUUUCUUCCUGGUCUCAACAUAAAAAAGGGUGUUCAGACGAGGAAAAACCCUGAAAAGUCAACGCCUUUACCUGAAGAUUAGCCCACAGCAGAGUCUCAGGGAAUCUGCAGUAAUGGAAGCUUUAGGAUACUUAUUUAUUUUUUUAGAAGCAGGAUGAGAAAGAGCAGCGGGCCCUGAGCCCAGAGCUUAGGAAGGUCUGCCUGCAUCUGGCCACCUGACAGCAGCUCGGGGUGGGGGCAUCCCAAGGAGCCAGGCCCCACAGCCCUUUCUGCUCUCAGCUUAAAGAUAAGCAACCUUAUAUGGCUUGUCUCUCGAGAGCUAUUGGAAGCAAAGCUGCCUAUUACAGGCUAAAUCUCCAAGCGUCCCUACAGAAAUCUCUCCUCCUAAACCCAAACACCUGUUUCUAGGGAGGCCUCUUGACCAGACUCACCUGUGACCCUGAUUAGUGACCCGCUGACAACGAUGGGCUGACCUCGCAGGGCACUUAUCACCUGGCGCCUGGGGUCCCCAGUGCUCCGGUGCAUUAGCUCGUUUAAUCCUCACCUGGAUGCAGUCACAUGGCCCCUUCAGGAGCCCAGGGGCAGAGGGGGGCUGGGCAGGGACAACUCCCCUGGGGCCCCAGCGCUGACCCCUGACCAAGCCAAGCACUGGCUAUGUAGGUGCUUCUGACUCCUCUUCCCGGGAUCUCUCCUCAAGUGGACUGGUGACUUCCCUGGAGGACUUGGAAUUUUGGCUGAAGUCCCAAAGCUAGCAGUACUGGACCCCAAUCAUUCUAAAGAGAGUGCAGGAGACACCCGUGGGAGCCAGUGAUCACCACCCCCAUGGGAGAGAAGAAGGACGUGUGGAAGGAGACUCCCAGGAGGGGAUUCGCAACAGGAGACACUCUUCAGCCCAGAGCAAGUGACAGCAUAUGAAGAUGCAGGAAUUUCCCUCUAGCAAAUGCCCCUCUGUAAAGUUCACACUCCCCUUCAGAGAGGUAGCACCUCUGACAAAUGCAUCUGGACAGCUGACUCCGGAGAUAAAGCUCUGUAAUGGGCCCAGAAGACUCGGGACCACUGAUGGGAGUUUCAACAAUCCAUCCCCUCCUUAACUGUGAGGGCUGUCCAUUAUCAGGAAUAAGCCUCAACAUCCAGGAUUCAGCGCAAGCUAGGCUCCCCAGGAAACCCUGGAGCUGGGAAAUCAGGAAGGGCUGUGAUGAGUGGGCUUUCUGGGACCCACCGUGCAGAUGGAAAAAGGCCGUGGGAACCAAGAGUGGGGACGGCCCCCAGUCUCAGGACCUCGAAAUGCAGGUGUCAGAAAUCUCCAUCUCCCCAGAGCCUGCCCCUCCCAUGGUCUUCCUCAGCACAGUAAAUGACAACUCUGUCCUUCCAGCGGUCCAGCCGCAUCCACCCCAACACCAAACAUCCUGCAGCUCUUCACUGAACUAUUACAGGUGCCUCUUCACUGGCCCUGGUUUCCACUCCUGCUCUCCGUACAGUUAAUCCCCCACCACAGCCAGAGGGAGCUGUCAUCAAGUCCUCUAUCCAAACCCCUUCUGUCCUGUUUACCUCAUCAGAGUAUAAUCCAAAUGUAUGUAUCAUCUAGGUUUGCCCAGGGCUUUCCCAGAGAUUUAAAAGUUCAGCUUCCUCCCAGGCCAAGGCGCCUUCCUAAAGCAAGUUUCUCAGAGCCUUGGCCUUGAUCCGUUCUCUCAUCACUUCUGGUGAGUCAAUGGGGCAGGGUUAUUAGAGUCCAACUUGGCAAGUGAGGAAAACUGAGGCACGGCCAAGGAUGAAAAAAGGACUUUGCAGGUGUGAUCAAGCUAAGGAUCUUAGCUGGGGAGAUGAUCCUGGAUUAUCUGGGUGGGCCCAGUGUAAUCCCUGGCUCCUUAUAAAAGGGAGAAGGCCAAGUGAGAAGGGCUGCAGAGGUUAGACUGAUGCUGCCAAGAGAUGCAGACAGCCUCUAGAAGCUGCAAGAGGCAAGAAACAGAUUCUCCAUGGAGCCUUCUGGAGGAACCCGCCCGGAGACACCUGGAUUUUAGCCCCACAAGACUCAUUUCCAGUUUCUGCCCUCCAGAACUAUAGGAGAGUAAAUGUGUGUUGCUUUAAGCCACUAAAGUUGUGGUAAUUAACUACAGCUGCCUCGGAACACUAAUACCAUUGAACUUAUCCCUUACCAUUGAGAGCAUGAACUUGGCUCUCCUGGGGAUUCUUCUGGCCAGAAGUAAUACUGCUCUGAGCACAUUUACUGUUCCUUUAACAAGAGUUUCUGGGGCUGAUUCAGCAGCUCAGGCUAUUUCCCUCUUUCUCAUUCUUCAGGAUAGUAAAGUCUCUGCCCAGAAUCAAAAUAGGGCUGUCGUGGGACUGCCCUCGUAGUCCAGUGGUGAAGAAUCCACCUUCCAAUGCAGGCAAUGGGGUUCAAGUCCUGGCUGGGGAGCUAAUAUCCCACCUGCAGCAGAGCAACUAAGCCCACACCCCCAACUAGAGAGCCUGUGCACCCCAGUGAGAAGCCCUGGCACUGCAACUCGAGAAAGUCCACGCACCAGGGCGAAGACCCAACACAGCCCCCCCAAAAAAAAUAAGGAAUGUAGUGGGCUUCCUCAUGAGGGAAAGGGAAAUCAAAAACCACAAUGAGAUGUCACUUCAAACCCACUAGGGUGGCGACAAUAAUAAUACUUUUUUAAAAAACCAAAAAAAAAACGAAAAUAGGGACUUCUCUGGUAGUCCAGUGGCUAAGAUUACAAACUCCCAGUGCAGGGGAUCAGGUUCAAUCUCUGGUCAGAGAACUAGAUCCCACAUGCCACAACUAAGACUUCAAACUCCACAACUAAAAAACCCAUGUAGCCAAAUAAAUAAAUAUUAAAAAAUAAUGAUAAAUGUUCUAAAAAUAGGACCGUCAUAACCC